rnacentral:rRNA from 1 species
GACGUAGGGCGCGAGCGUUGUCCGGAUUUAUUGGGCGUAAAGAGCUCGUAGGCGGCUUGUCGCGUCGACUGUGAAAACCCGUGGCUCAACCAUGUGGUCUGCAGUCGAUACGGGCAGGCUAGAAUUCGGUAGGGGAGACGUGGAAUUCCUGGUGUAGCGGUGAAAUGCGCAGAUAUCAGGAGGAACACCGGUGGCGAAGGCGGGUCUCUGGGCCGAUAUUGACGCUGAGGAGCGAAAGCGUGGGGGAGCGAACAGG